rnacentral:rRNA from 1 species
AUUGAACGCUGGCGGCAGGCCUAACACAUGCAAGUCGAACGGUAACAGGAAGAAGCUUGCUUCUUUGCUGACGAGUGGCGGACGGGUGAGUAAUGUCUGGGAAACUGCCUGAUGGAGGGGGAUAACUACUGGAAACGGUAGCUAAUACCGCAUAACGUCGCAAGACCAAAAAGGGGGACCUUCGGGCCUCUUGCCAUCGGAUGUGCCCAGAUGGGAUUAGCUAGUAGGUGGGGUAACGGCUCACCUAGGCGACGAUCCCUAGCAGGUCUGAGAGGAUGACCAGCCACACUGGAACUGAGACACGGUCCAGACUCCUACGGGAGGCAGCAGUGGGGAAUAUUGCACAAUGGGCGCAAGCCUGAUGCAGCCAUGCCGCGUGUAUGAAGAAGGCCUUCGGGUUGUAAAGUACUUUCAGCGGGGAGGAAGGGAGUAAAGUUAAUACCUUUGCUCAUUGACGUUACCCGCAGAAGAAGCACCGGCUAACUCCGUG